GAGAUGUGGCAUCAUAUUCUUCCUGCCACCCUCCUGCUCCUCACGCUUCAGCAGAAGUCACAGCUCUCUGAAGCUUUGCUCAUCACCAUGCAGCCCAGUUUUGGCAGCUAUUUUCGGCACCGCCGCUGUACAGCGGCCAAGUUCUCAGAUGUAUUUGUAUGUUUUUUCAUAACUUCCUCCAAGUAGGUCUGGUUUUUUUCCAUACUAAGCUCAACAUUUUUACUCUUCCUAGGUCAACCAAAAGCCAUCUCCUCUUGGCAUCGUGCCUAUCUGUCCAGCUCAGUCGCAGCGUUUCUUAUGACCGGUGCCAGCUCCCAGGGCGGGUGGAGAAGGCUGGGAGCCAGGACCCAACUUAUUUACUAAGAGCCCAUCACAAGCUAUUUCUGUAGAGCAGACUUGGCCCUUUCAGAGCUAAAAGGGCAAAGAUUCGGCUGCUUCCCCAUAGGAAGGCAGUUCCCAGGCAGCUUCCUGCUGGGUACACGCUUUGCAGACCAGGGGCAAUGCUACUUUCCUUCCAUUUUUAUGCCCAUUGCUGAGCCUGCAUUGGGUUCCUCAUCCUGCUGAGGGCUUCACCUCAUACGUGCCGAGGCCCUGAGUUAUUGUUCUGCUUGAAGGCGGAGGGGACGGUGAAGGAAGCGACACUGGCCAGGUGUUACACAGAGCCCCAGGAGCAGACACACAUUCCAGCCACGUGCCAACACCUCCCUGCCCAGCGCAGAAAGCUCCAUUUGCCGACAGCCCUGCAGGUCUCCAACGCAAAGCCCAUCGAAAGCAAGGUACCGCAAGAGUCUUGGAUGCACAUCAAGCGAGCGCAGGUGUAUGCAGUCAGCUUUCUCGCAGCAAGAUUGCCCAAAAGCUUUAAAACCUAAAAGACGGGGAGUUGCCGAGAAGUGACUUCAUGUGCACCCUUGUCUGACACCCCCGGCUGUGAACAAGCGCCCUGCAGGCUCCUGAGCCAGCCUGGCCAGCCUCCAGCACAGCCAGCAGCCCCUUUCCAGAGAUGCGGAUGAGGUGUUUGCUCUUGAGGAUAGACCACGAGAGCCCAGUUCUCAGUUGAUCCCCCAACACUCGCUUCCUCAUCCAUGUUAACCAGUUUGCCAACUACAAAAAAAUAAAUCUGCUCUUCUUGUACUUACACCAAGCCACAAGAACCAGAGCUUUCCAGUUGAAUGACACUGAAACCAGUGAGUAACCCUGGUCUCAACCCCAGCUCCUCUGGACUGCUGUGACCCCACAUACACACACGUGUGCAAUCCCACCCGCACAUCCUUCCCACACAAACAAAACAGCCACAAAUUUAUACGGCUAUGAACAGUACCGUUAGAAAUUCAUUGUGAUGCUAUUGGAAACACAGUGUGGUUACCCCGCUACAAAAAAUAAAUAACAAAAAUAUUGAAGUGCUGCUAUCGGUGCCAAGGCUUGUGUAGUCCACUGUGCUCGGGGUAGCUGGUAGAUGGAUCAAAAAGCUUGAGAAUCACCAGCUUGGUGACAGCCCCGCAGACCUGGGGUACCCAUGCUUUAUGUCCAGUCUCCCAAGAGAUGCACUGGGCAAUGCUUUGGCAGUCCCUGAUGAUGCCCUUUCAGCUCUACACCUCAAUGUUCGGUUAGAUUAUUGAAUUUUGGCCCCUCAAGCUCCGACGCAGGCUCAGCCCCAGGCGAAUUCCCUCUGUCCCUGGGCAGCACCCAUCAGCAAGUGCAAAAGGCAGGGCAGGGCUGCCAGAGGGAUGGGCACUGCCAGCAGCUGUCACAGCCCUCAGAAACAGCAGAGUCACCCCUACACGUGAUAAACCAUUGCUUCAUAUUCUCAGUUUCUUACUUUAAUCAAAAUGCAUCUGUUGCAGAUUCAUGCAAUGACUUGUUCUCCCAUGAACCACCUGGUCCAAGUGGAUUCACAUUAUUUGGAGUAAACCCCACCCCCCUCCCUUAUUACCUGAUUACCUUAAAACAUUCAUUGCAGUGUUUCUCAAUAGCAAAUGCCAUUCCUAAGGUCACGUUUUCUAAAGGAGCCGAGAUACCUGGUGAGGAUGCAGGUGUUGAUGAGGAUGAGCUAACGCCACUGCUCGCAGCUCCAGCAGCUCCAGCACCCGGCAAGCAGGGAGCCCUCAGCCCUGCGGUUCCCAAGGCGCAGAAGAAAGCGAAAGGCAAUUACAUGAGAACAAUUAAUCAGAAAUGGGAAACAACACCUCGAGGGAGUUAACCACAGGAACAUGCCUUUGGUGCUACCUGCCAGGAUUACAGACACCAGCAGUGACCCUUUAUCUGGCUCCAGUAACACGCAGCACUGCCUGCCCUGGCAGGUUUAGGCGAUGGUGAACAUGUGUGGUGGUGCAUCUCGUCCCCUCUCUGGGCUGCUCUGCUGCCUGGGGGUCCCUGGUAGCCCCGGUGUCUGCGGAGCGAGCUGGCACCCUCGGCUGCACCAACAGCUCCUGCUUGGCUGAGGUGGGAACGGUGCUGCCCGUACCAGGAACUCCUGUUGUCUGGCAAAGGUGGAAACAAACCCAGCCAUCGGUCAUCCCCUGACAGCCCUGGGACAUUCCUGACCCGACCCGCAGCUGGGUGGAACGGUACCAUUGUCAGUGAAAAAUGACCGGCUCAGGUUACGGCCGGGAUGGAAUUUUAUGGAUGACUAAAGCCAGUCACCUCUGCCCCAUAAACAGCGGUCCAUGCAAGACCCUCUGAGCCGUCCUGGAGCACCGCGGGCUGCGACAGCAUCUCCCUCUGCGUGGGAUGUCACAUGCCAACUCCCAGGUCUGCAGUGUCGGAGGGACCGUCGCUGAGAGCUGACGAUGGAGCCUGGACUGAUACCCCCGCUCCUCCAGGCUCACCCUGAGUAUUGCACUGAACUCAGGGGGAAAUUUUAAUAUAUAUAUACCUUUAUACAUUUGUAUAUCUAUCUCUGUACACCUAUCCCCUUGUGUUUGUGUGUGCAUGUGAAUAGAUUUAGAUACUUCAUAACCAAUACAAGUGUUACCAUUUGGGGUCUGUAAUUAAAUCACUGUUAUAACUGAAGUAAAUCCUACUGAAUCACUCUGUAAAUGUUAAAUUGAUGAUUAAGUGCUGCUAAAAUUUUGUGAUGAACCUUAAGCUGUGAAUAAACUCUCACUCUCUACAUACCCUUAGAAUAAUCUGUCGACCAAAUCUGAAACUAAGAUUGGAUCUAGCUGCAGCUAAACUCGACCAAAUCAGUAAGAAAGCCAGGGGGUCCACUCUGAACCUCAUGACUCAACAGUAGGUUCUCCCUUACCCGUGACAUCUUUGAUCCCUGUGUAAAACAUUCUAGUUUAAUUCUAACUUGAUUUUUAAUUUGAUUUUUUUCUUUGUGUUCUAUCCAUAUAAUAAGUAAUGAAUGAACCUUGCCAUCACACUUUGUGAAGUCGCACCCCCACAAACUCUUACUAAAACUACUUCGCUCAUACCUUUGACAGUGCUUCUUUAAGUGACUUAACCUAAACAACUCAUUGGCGACACCGCUCCUUGCCACAGUGACCUUGCUUUUUCUUUGUGACCUUGGUCACCAUGGUUGGGUUUGCUCCUUCAAACCACAGGACUGACUCCCAUACUGGCCUCAUUCAGCCUCCCCCCUCCCCCCAUGGCGGGGCUGAGCAGGUGUGACCACGAAGUGUAGGGUUCUGCCAACCCACCACAGAACAGGCACGCAUGAGCAUCCCCCUGCCCCUGCACAGCCCAAGUUAUUUCUCAUUCACUUAUUACCACGUUUCUGUGCUCUCCGAGUCACACUGAAGCUAUACGGGAUUUGAUAACGUAUGUCAAGAUACAACAGCCAUAAUGCCGGGACCAUGGGAGCAGGAAUCAAUGACCCAGCGGCGGUAACCCCACGUCCAUCACCUCAUCCACCUCUUGCCAGCCCCGUGCUUUUAUCUUAGGUUUGACAAUCAGCUUCAAACUAACAUUAAAGCCAACAUAGAACUCUGCUUCAUCCCCUUCUUCACCUUUUUUUCCUUUUUUUCUCCCCCUCCACCACUUUUUUUUCCCUUUUUUUCCCCUUUUCUUAGCAGGGUGUUUUUCCAAGAUCAUAACAAGCAACAAAGGAAAGCUUUGCAAACAGGGGCUCAGUCAUCAGGCUGCCUCGGCACUGCACUGCACUCUGUUCUCAGGAGUGGCUGUGCAGAGGUAACCUGACACGUUCACAAGUACACGUCCAAAUCAAACAUGUCAACAUCGCAAUC